rnacentral:rRNA from 1 species
CCCAGUGGUGCAGCCGCUACUAAAGNGUUCGUUUGUUCAACGAUUAAUACCCUACGUGAUCUGAGUUCNAGACCGGAGUAAUCCAGGUCGGUUUCUAUCUAUANAAGGGNCUCUUUCUAGUACGAAAGGACCGAAAAAGCAUGGCCAAUAAUUAUCUUAAGCCAUNAUAUUCUNNACUUAUGACCUCAACUCAAUAAGGAAAAAACCUAAUAAUNNUAACUCAAGACAUNAGAGGUUAACGUAGCAAAAUCUGGCCCUGCAG